rnacentral:rRNA from 1 species
CAGCAGUAGCCACGGGAAUACGAAGGGUGCAAGCGUUAAUCGGAAUUACUGGGCGUAAAGCGUGCGUAGGCGGUGAGUUAAGUCUGCUGUGAAAUCCCCGGGCUCAACCUGGGAAUGGCAGUGGAUACUGGCUCGCUAGAGUGUGUCAGAGGAUGGUGGAAUUCCCGGUGUAGCGGUGAAAUGCGUAGAGAUCGGGAGGAACAUCAGUGGCGAAGGCGGCAACCUGGCUCAUUACUGACGCUGAGGCGCGAAAGCGUGGGGAGCAAACAGGAUUAGAUACCCCGGUAGUCCCUGUCUCUUAUAA